rfam:Corchorus olitorius cultivar O-4 contig03880, whole genome shotgun sequence.
CCUCUUCGAUCUGCUGCGGGCAGAUGAAGUGGAUGUGGGAGUCGAUCCCGCCGGCGGUGAGGAUCAUGCCUUCACCGGCGAUGACCUCGGUGGCGGCGCCGAUGGGCACGCUGACACCCGGCUGGAUGUCCGGGUUGCCGGCCUUGCCGAUGGCAUGGAUGCGGCCGUGCUUGAGGCCGACGUCGGCCUUGACGAUGACCCAGUGGUCGACGAUCAGCGCAUUGGUGAUGACGGUAUCGACCACCUCGGCGGCGGGCAGCUGGCUCUGGCCCAUGCCGUCGCGGAUG